rnacentral:rRNA from 1 species
GAUGAACGCUAGCGGCAGGCCUAAUACAUGCAAGUCGAACGGGAUUGGGGAGCUUGCUCCCCAUGAGAGUGGCGCACGGGUGCGUAACGCGUGAGCAACCUGCCCGUCCCAGGGGGAUAGCCCGUUGAAAGACGGAUUAACACCGCAUGACGUAGUUAACUGGCAUCAGUAUACUACCAAAUAUUAAUAGGGGACGGAUGGGCUCGCGUGACAUUAGCUGGUUGGAGAGGUAACGGCUCACCAAGGCGACGAUGUCUAGGGGCUCUGAGAGGAGAAUCCCCCACACUGGUACUGAGACACGGACCAGACUCCUACGGGAGGCAGCAGUAAGGAAUAUUGGUCAAUGGGCGGAAGCCUGAACCAGCCAUGCCGCGUGCAGGAAGACGGCCCUACGGGUUGUAAACUGCUUUUGUACGGGAAUAAUUCCUAUUAUGUAUAAUAGGUUGAAUGUACCGUAAGAAUAAGGAUCGGCUAACUCCGUGCCAGCCGCCGCCGUAA